rnacentral:rRNA from 1 species
GACGAACGCUGGCGGCGUGCCUAAUACAUGCAAGUUGAGCGCUGAAGGUUGGUACUUGUACCAACUGGAUGAGCAGCGAACGGGUGAGUAACGCGUGGGGAAUCUGCCUUUGAGCGGGGGACAACAUUUGGAAACGAAUGCUAAUACCGCAUAAAAACUUUAAACACAAGUUUUAAGUUUGAAAGAUGCAAUUGCAUCACUCAAAGAUGAUCCCGCGUUGUAUUAGCUAGUUGGUGAGGUAAAGGCUCACCAAGGCGAUGAUACAUAGCCGACCUGAGAGGGUGAUCGGCCACAUUGGGACUGAGACACGGCCCAAACUCCUACGGGAGGCAGCAGUAAGGAAUCUUCGGCAAUGGACGAAAGUCUGACCGAGCAACGCCGCGUGAGUGAAGAAGGUUUUCGGAUCGUAAAACUCUGUUGGUAGAGAAGAACGUUGGUGAGAGUGGAAAGCUCAUCAAGUGACGGUAACUACCCAGAAAGGGACGGCUAACUACGUG